rnacentral:misc_RNA from 1 species
AAUCCGCUUUCAGGUGAAACAA